rnacentral:tRNA from 1 species
GCGAGAGUGGUGGAAUUGGUAUACACGCUAGUCUUAGGAACUAGUGCUUCGGCUUGCGGGUUCGAGUCCCGCCUCUCGCA